GGAAGGAUCAUUGAAUCUAUCAAACCCACCCUGGUCACUCUUUACCGCCUCUUUCCGACAUACAACUGGAAAGGCAUCGGUACUCUUCAUUUAUGAAGCGCAUCGGUGGAUAGGGAAGAAGACCUUUCUCACACUCGUGAAGAAGGCAUUCAACAUCCCCUUAGGGGGGUGUUGAAUUUUUUUCCCUGUUGGUUUUUUCUAUUCAUAUACCUACAUUUUUCUGAAUACGAUACCAGUAAAUACUGGUACCUACCAAAGGAAAGACAACUCUCAACAACGGAUAUCUUGGCUCCCGUAUCGAUGAAGAACGCAGCGAAAUGCGAUACGUAAUGUGAAUUGCAGAAUCAUGUGAAUCAUCGAAUUUUUGAACGCAUAUUGCGCCCAAGCCUCGGCAAGGGCAUGUCUGCCUCAGCGUCGGUUUACCCUACCAAAGCUCUUCCUAUUGGAAUGGGCUUCUGGGAGUUGGUCUCCCUAUCCAUCAUUUGUGGAAAGGUUGGCUGAAACAAAAUUCAAUGUUUGCCACUAAAACUAAGGCACACAAUGGUAGGCAAUCCAACUGGGUUGCACUGCCUGUGAGCCUUCGGGAAGGCAUUGUUUAAUCAGGAGUUGGCUCAAAUAGCCGAUAUGUAUAAACCAUCUGACCUGAGAUCAGACAAGAGCACCCGCUGAACUUAAGCAUAUCAAUAAGCGGAGGAGAAGAAACUAACUAGGAUUCCCUUAGUAGCGGCGAGCGAACCGGGAAGUGCCCAACUUGUAAAUCUCUGCCUUCUGGGCGGCGAAUUGUAGUCUAUAGAAGCGCCCUCUGCGACAGGUCGGUCUCAAGUCCCUUGGAAGAGGGUGUCAGAGAGGGUGAGAGCCCCGUCGGCGCCGACUGUUGUUGCUCCACGAGACGCUUUCGAAGAGUCGGGUUGUUUGGGAAUGCAGCCCAAAGCCGGUGGUAAAUCCCAUCUAAGGCUAAAUACUGACGGGAGACCGAUAGCGAACAAGUACCGUGAGGGAAAGAUGAAAAGAACUUUGAAAAGAGAGUUAAAAGUGCUUGAAAUUGUUGAGGGGGAAGGGAUUGGAGGCUGUAGGUGCACUCGGGCUAAUGGGUUACGUCAGUACCCCUGUAUGUGCCGAGUGCCGGUCAGCAUCGGUCGUUGGGUAGGGAGAAAAGCGCCCAUUCGUUGGGUGCUGAUGCCUACUCAGCGAUCGAGGAGUAAGGGUACCCCGGUCCUUUGGAUCAGUGCCCUCACGAUGCUGGCAGAAGGCUUCCAAUCCGCCCGUCUUGAAACACGGACCAAGGAGUCUAACAUGUAUGCGAGCGGGUGGGUGGUAAACCCAUGACGCGUAAGUAACCUGACUGGUGGGAGGGCGAAAGCCUGCACCAUCGACCGACCAUGAUCUUCUGUGAAAGGUUUGAGUACGAGCAUGCCUGUUGGGACCCGAAAGAUGGUGAACUAUGCCUGAGCAGGGCGAAGCCAGAGGAAACUCUGGUGGAGGCUCGUAGAUGUGCUGACGUGCAAAUCGCUUUUCGGACUUGGGUAUAGGGGCGAAAGACUAAUCGAACCAUCUAGUAGCUGGUUCCCUC
rnacentral:misc_RNA from 1 species